AGUGAACGCUGGCGGUAGGCCUAACACAUGCAAGUCGAACGGCAGCACAGUAAGAGCUUGCUCUUACGGGUGGCGAGUGGCGGACGGGUGAGGAAUACAUCGGAAUCUACUUUUUCGUGGGGGAUAACGUAGGGAAACUUACGCUAAUACCGCAUACGACCUACGGGUGAAAGCAGGGGAUCUUCGGACCUUGCGCGUUUGAAUGAGACGAUGUCGGAUUAGCUAGUUGGCGGGGUAAAGGCCCACCAAGGCGACGAUCCGUAGCUGGUCUGAGAGGAUGAUCAGCCACACUGGAACUGAGACACGGUCCAGACUCCUACGGGAGGCAGCAGUAGGGAAUAUUGGACAAUGGGCGCAAGCCUGAUCCAGCCAUACCGCGUGGGUGAAGAAGGCCUUCGGGAUGUAAAGCCCUUUUGUUGGGAAAGAAAAGCAGCAGGUUAAUACCCCGCUGUUCUGACGGUACCCAAAGAAUAAGCACCGGCUAACUUCGUG
rnacentral:rRNA from 1 species